GCUUUUUUGUGGAUGUUCCACCGGGCUCUCGCCUUGUCUCUCUGCUUUAAGAGACACUAAAUAAGCGGCUCGGUGGCGGCUCACGGGCUACCUGCUGUCCGCCCGGGCCGGUUGUAUAACGGCCGUGUCACCUCAGCUGAACCCGACGCAUCUGGUUCAGCGGCGGCGGCGCAGUCUGUUGCCCUAUGUCCCCGUUGAACCGAGCUGCACGGCCGGCGAGAGAGAGGCAGCGAGGGGCGGGAGGAGAGGGAGGGGGACCACUCGUUUUAUUUGUCCCGCUACAGCUGCUCUCUGGAAAUUGUCCUCAACGUGACGAUGUCUCCUGCAUCUCAGUCGUCAAAUAUUGUCGCGUUGUGUGUGUCUCCCUUGCUCGCCAUGAGACCAGACCCGCCACAGUCCAGGAGGCGUGUAGCCCACGGCGUUGGAGGAAGAGACCGUCCAACUUGAACUUGACUUUUAUUGGUCAACAGAGGACAAAUGUGGAUGUGGAACAACAACUUCUCAGACUCUAAAAACCACAGAGGAUAUGUGGACAUACUCGGUGCAGCUACAGGAAGACCCAGCACAAUGAGCGGUGGAGAUUUCAGCACUUUACCCCGGAUAGCUGAUGGCUGUGGUGUGUGUAUGCCAGCUGCCUCAAAGACUCAGUGGGUCUAGGAAACUGGAGAGGAGGCAAACUGUCAGACCGGAGGCUGCCGCCGCAGAGACGGGGUGACAAACAGGAGGGAGACAGGAAGUAUUAUUACUGCACUCACAGAUUUGCAUCUAUUAAGGGAUGAUAUCUCAGUAUGUAGAUGCACAGACGAAUAGUUCACUGUGAUCUGCUGUCACAUCAUUAAAAUUAACAAUUCAUGUUAAUCUUCAUGUUAAUAUUAAAAAUGGAAUUAAAAAUUGUAUGUAUAUAUUAAUUAUUAAAUCUGUUUUAAUUGUAUUCAUGCUUUAUGAAUGAAUUAUCUACGUAAAGUAUGUAUAAUGCCGUAAUGAUAUACUAUAGACCAAUCUGGAUCUCAUGGACUUGAUGGUCAAAUACAUGUGUCAGGAGACAGAAGGUGUCAGUGUACUGUAAUUGUACCCACAUCAUAUAUAAUAAGACAUUUAUAGAGAAAUCUGUGCACUUGAUCUGUAGUUUUCUUUCCUGUGUGCCGAUGGCGGCGUUGAGCUUCUGUUCCUCACAGGUUGACCAUCGACAGUGUGACACGGCUGAAGAAGAUAAACUUUCCUUGGGGUGAGGUAGUAGGUUGUAUAGUUUUAGGGUCAUUCCCGAGCUGUCAGAUGACUAUACAACUUACUGUCUUUCCUGAAGCGACUGUAUUGGCAUCGUGUUCGUCACUGUCACCAACGAAAAUACGACCUUGCUUCAUAUGUGAUUUUUUUCUCAGUACACUUUGGACAAUAGCUGGGAUAUCCUUUCAUAAAGUGUAUUAAUCAACACCCAAUAAAUCCCCUAUUGAUUUCCUUUAUUGAGAAGAUAAUGUCGAAAAGAAGCUGAUACAUUAGAGGCAAUAAUCUUUAGAUAUUCAGAGAAUUAAAGAAAGGGUACAUCCAUUGACAGUGAGUAAGGUUGCCACUUAACAGACCUAAUGUUUAUUGGUAUCUAUUUAUAAAAUGUCUGCAUUUUUAUCUUUUAUUUUUUUUCUGUUACUAAAGUCUACAUUAACUCUUGCUUCCUUUUUCCUUAUUAAAAUUGCAAAUGCCUGAACAGCAUUCCUCCAUUAGAUCAUAUUUGAAAACAGUUUUUUGUGUUUGAGCCUUUUGAGCCUGAACGUUAUAAUCAAAAAUCAGGGGACUUCUGUUCAGCUCUCCCCUACCCGACCUCCCCCACCUGGAUGACUUGCGGUGUUCGUACAGGGUGAGGUAGUAGGUUGUGUGGUUUCAGGGUUGUGAUUUUACCCCAUCGGGAGCUAACUGUACAACCUACUGCCUUCCCUGGAGGGCAGCAAUACAUCACGAGCGCACACACACGUCCAACGUUACCUUCCUGCUGUGAAGAAAACUUCUCCUGACUCCUGUUUAAAAAAGCUCAACAAAGAACCCAAAGCUUUCAUGAAACGGGUGGGUGGGGCUGAAUCAAGAUGUUUACUACGGAUUUGUAACUGGUACAAAAUAUUAAAAUUGUAAAUGUUUAGAAUAUUUUUAAUAUUCUAAAUGUUUUAACUUUGUCAUUUUUUUUAUCAAUAAAGACUGGAUACGAAAUAACAAAACAA